AAAUAGUCCGUGAUCAGUAUAAUUCAGCCGAAAAAUAAGCGUCAAUAGUUGGAAAUCUUCUUCGAUUACUCUCAGACUGGAAUGGCGACGGAAGGGCAGAAGCCAUCAGCUGAGGAAGUAAAGACCGAUCUAUUUGAAGAUGACGACGAGUUUGAGGAGUUCGAAAUUGAUCGAGUGUGUGAGGAUUUGGCCGAUUGGGAUGAGCAAAACGG